rnacentral:rRNA from 1 species
GACGAACGCUGGCGGCGUGCCUAAUACAUGCAAGUCGAACGCAGUGGGGACGGGUGAGUAACACGUGGGUAACCUCCCAUCAGAGGGGAUAACACUUGGAAACAGGUGCUAAACCGAUACUGAUGGAUGGACCCGCGGUGCAUUAGCUAGGUGGGGGGGUAACGGCUCACCAAGGCCAGGAUGAAUAGCGGACCGGGUGGGGUGAACGGCCAAACUGGGCCUUAGACACGGACCAGACUCCUACGGAAUGCAGCAGUAGGGAAUCUUCGGCAAUGGACGAAAGUCUGACCGAGCAACGCGGCGUGAGUGAAGAAGGUUUUCGGAUCGUAAAACUCUGUUGUUAGAGAAGCGGUAUCUAACCAGAAAGCCACGGCUAACUACGUGCCAGCAGCCGCGGUAAUAC